GACGAACGCUGGCGGCGUGCUUAAUACAUGCAAGUCGACUGAACUUAAGGUAGCAAUAUUUUAAGGGAGGUGGCGCACGGGUGAGUAACACGUAGGUAAUCUGCCUUUAGGACUGACAUAACUCCGCGAAAGCGGAGCUAAUUUCAGAUGAUGCAGCGGCUCGACAUCGAGACAGUUGUUAAACCUUCGGGGCCUAAAGAUGAGCCUGCGUCUGAUUAGGUAGUUGGCGGAGUAAUAGCCCACCAAGCCAUCGAUCAGUAGCUGGUCUGAGAGGAUGAUCAGCCACACUGGAACUGAGACACGGUCCAGACUCCUACGGGAGGCAGCAGUAAGGAAUAUUGCUCAAUGGCCGAAAGGCUGAAGCAGCAACGCCGCGUGGAGGAUGAAAUACUUUGUAUGUAAACUCCUGUAAGAAGGGAAAAUAAACAGAUUUCUGUGUUGAUUGUACCUUCAGAGUAAGACCCGGCUAACUACGUGCC
rnacentral:rRNA from 1 species